rnacentral:rRNA from 1 species
GACAGAGGGUGCAAACGUUGUUCGGAAUUACUGGGCGUAAAGCGCGUGUAGGCGGCUCGGCAAGUCGGGUGUGAAAGCCCUGGGCUCAACCCAGGAAGUGCACUCGAAACUGCCGGGCUUGAGUUCCGGAGAGGAAGGCGGAAUUCUCGGUGUAGAGGUGAAAUUCGUAGAUAUCGAGAGGAACACCGGUGGCGAAGGCGGCCUUCUGGACGGUGACUGACGCUGAGACGCGAAAGCGUGGGGAGCAAACAGG